UACGUAGGGUGCAAGCGUUGUCCGGAAUUAUUGGGCGUAAAGAGCUCGUAGGCGGUUUGUCGCGUCUGCUGUGAAAACCCGAGGCUCAACCUCGGGCCUGCAGUGGGUACGGGCAGACUAGAGUGCGGUAGGGGAGAUUGGAAUUCCUGGUGUAGCGGUGAAAUGCGUAGAUAUCUGGAAGAACACCAGUGGCGAAGGCGGUCAACUGGCCCGUAACUGACGCUCAGGCACGAAAGCGUGGGUAGCGAACAGG
rnacentral:rRNA from 1 species